AACGAACGCUGGCGGCAGGCCUAACACAUGCAAGUCGAGCGCGCCCUUCGGGGUGAGCGGCGGACGGGUGAGUAACGCGUGGGAACGUGCCCUUCUCUGCGGAAUAGCCUCGGGAAACUGAGAGUAAUACCGCAUACGCCCUUUGGGGGAAAGAUUUAUCGGAGAAGGAUCGGCCCGCGUUGGAUUAGGUAGUUGGUGGGGUAAUGGCCCACCAAGCCGACGAUCCAUAGCUGGUUUGAGAGGAUGAUCAGCCACACUGGGACUGAGACACGGCCCAGACUCCUACGGGAGGCAGCAGUGGGGAAUCUUAGACAAUGGGGGCCACCCUGAUCUAGCCAUGCCGCGUGAGUGAUGAAGGCCUUAGGGUUGUAAAGCUCUUUCAGCUGGGAAGAUAAUGACGGUACCAGCAGAAGAAGCCCCGGCUAACUCCGUG
rnacentral:rRNA from 1 species